CUCCUUCACUUUCUUCUCCUCCCUCUUGCACUGCUGCAGCCGGCUCUUCUUCUGCGGUUUGCUGAGUUUAUCCUCGAGGGAGAGCUUGCGGGCCGCCUCAUAAAUCUGCCUCUGCAGAGCCAGUAAACACUGAUGGGGGUUCGUACCUGCUGGUCCAGAUGGAUCAGACCUUCAUCCAGCUUGAAUGAAGCUCCGAUCCUCCUCCGAACCCGAGGUGGCUUCUCAUCUGGCAUCAGAGGAUAGUCUGAAGGCAGUGUGCCGGUCAGCUCCUGUGAAGACAAAAUAAAUGUGUUGAUUACAAGAGAAAAAAAAAAGCUAAACUGGGACCAUUUUACACAG